rnacentral:rRNA from 1 species
AUUGAACGCUGGCGGCAUGCUUUACACAUGCAAGUCGAACGGUAACAGGGAGCUUGCUCCGCUGACGAGUGGCGAACGGGUGAGUAAUAUAUCGGAACGUACCCAAGAGUGGGGGAUAACGUAGCGAAAGUUAAGCUAAUACCGCAUACGAUCUAAGGAUGAAAGCAGGGGACCUUCGGGCCUUGUGCUCCUGGAGCGGCCGAUAUCUGAUUAGCUAGUUGGUGAGGUAAAGGCUCACCAAGGCGACGAUCAGUAGCUGGUCUGAGAGGACGACCAGCCACACUGGAACUGAGACACGGUCCAGACUCCUACGGGAGGCAGCAGUGGGGAAUUUUGGACAAUGGGCGCAAGCCUGAUCCAGCAAUGCCGCGUGAGUGAAGAAGGCCUUCGGGUUGUAAAGCUCUUUUGUCAGGGAAGAAACUGGAUUGGCUAAUAUCCAGUCCUAAUGACGGUACCUGAAGAAUAAGCACCGGCUAACUACGUG